UACAGAGGUGGCAAGCGUUGUUCGGAAUGACUGGGCGUAAAGGGCGCGUAGGCGGAUGGCACAGUCAGAUGUGAAAUUCCCGGGCUUAACCUGGGGGCUGCAUUUGAUACGUGUUGUCUGGAGUGAGGAAGAGGGUCGUGGAAUUCCCAGUGUAGAGGUGAAAUUCGUAGAUAUUGGGAAGAACACCGGUGGCGAAGGCGGCGACCUGGUCCUUGACUGACGCUGAGGCGCGAAAGCGUGGGGAGCAAACAGG
rnacentral:rRNA from 1 species